GACGAACCGUCCAAACGUUAUUCGGAAUCACUGGGCUUACAGAGUUCGUAGGCGGUCUGGAAAGUUGGGUGUGAAAUCCCUCGGCUCAACCGAGGAACUGCGCUUGAAACUACCAGACUCGAGGGAGAUAGAGGAAAGCGGAACUGAUGGUGGAGCGGUGAAAUGCGUUGAUAUCAGGAAGAACACCCGUGGCGAAGGCGGCUCUCUGGGACGGUACUGACGCUGAGACGCGAAAGCGUGGGGAGCGAACAGG
rnacentral:rRNA from 1 species